AGUCGUAACAAGGUUUCCGUAGGUGAACCUGCGGAAGGAUCAUUACCAAUCCAAUUUUAUCUUUUCCUGUGAAUUAUAAAUAUUGUUAAAUAUUUGGGUGAAAGUAAAAAAGCUAAACCCUUUUUUUAUUUUCACCCAAAUAUUAUAAUUAACAAUUCCAAUUCAAUACCUUAUAACUAUUAAAUUUGUUUGGAUAUAUUCCAAUACAAAAUAAUUUAAAAAAUUACAACUUUUAGCGGUGGAUCUCUUGGCUCAU
rnacentral:misc_RNA from 1 species